CACGGGAAGGGCAAGCGUUAUUCGGCAUAACUGGGCGUAAAGGGUUCGCAGACUGUAAAGUAAGUUACUGGUAAAAUUUUUAAGCCUAACUUAAAAAAUGCUUUUAAUACUGCUUUACUUGAGUUUUAUACAGAAGAGUAGAAUUUUAUAUGUAAGGGUAAAAUCUGAAGAUAUAUAAAGGAACACCAACAGCGAAGGCAACUCUUUGGUAAAAACUGACGUUGAGGAACGAAAGUAUGGGGAGCAAACAGG
rnacentral:rRNA from 1 species